UACGUAGGUGGCAAGCGUUGUCCGGAUUCAUUGGGCGUAAAGAGCACGCAGGCGGUUUGGCAAGUCGGACGUGAAAAUCCGGGGCUCAACCCCGGACCUGCAUCCGAAACUGCCCGACUAGAGGUAGGUAGGGGAGAUCGGAAUUCCUGGUGUAGCGGUGAAAUGCGCAGAUAUCAGGAGGAACACCGGUGGCGAAGGCGGAUCUCUGGGCCUUACCUGACGCUCAGGUGCGAAAGCUAGGGGAGCGAACAGG
rnacentral:rRNA from 1 species